rfam:Apaloderma vittatum contig48643, whole genome shotgun sequence.
UUGCACUGUUCGUAACCUGUUAACAGCAUCUUUCUGGUAAUGGGUUCCAUUCCAGUGCUACAUGAUACCCCAAAAUGAUAGAAGGGUGGCUGUUUGUCUGCUUGUCCCCUUUAUUUUGGGGGACAUAA